AUCCUUAAUAUACCGGUGAACCUUUCUCUACAUCAUGCAAUGCAAAUUAUAAACCAAAAAACACAAAGUGAAUUGAAGAAAACCAGGAGAUAACUUUAGUCUAACAACCUGCCAAUCAAUAUGGCUACUUUUGUGCCAUCAAGCAAACAUUAAAGACUAAUUUGUGUAGUCUGUUAUCCCUGAAGUACCAAAAAAUAUCAAUGAGCCCAUGAACACAUAAUAAAUAAAGAAAGAUAACACAAUGUACCAACUUGUAUGUUACUUUGCUAGUGCAGCUCAUAUACAACUUCUUUCAUUUGCAAAAAAGAAUUUCUCAGUUAUCAAAUGUAGACGUGAG
rnacentral:lncRNA from 1 species